AAAUUGAAGAGUUUGAUCAUGGCUCAGAUUGAACGCUGGCGGCAGGCCUAACACAUGCAAGUCGAACGGUAACAGAAAGCAGCUUGCUGCUUUGCUGACGAGUGGCGGACGGGUGAGUAAUGUCUGGGAAACUGCCUGAUGGAGGGGGAUAACUACUGGAAACGGUAGCUAAUACCGCAUAACGUCGCAAGACCAA
rnacentral:rRNA from 1 species